rnacentral:rRNA from 1 species
GACGAACGCUGGCGGCGUGCUUAACACAUGCAAGUCGAACGGCAACGCCCUGCUUUUGUGCUGUGCUCGGGUGGCGUUCGGGUGCGUAACACGUGAGUAACCUGCCCUUCUCUUUCGUAUAGCUUCAGGAAACUGGGGCUACUACCGUAUCGCAUCUCCUCCUGCAUUGAGGGCGUUGGAUCGUUUCGGCGGUUGGAGAUGGACUCGCGGCUUAUCAGCUUGUUGGUUGGGUAGUGGCUUACCAAGUCUUUGACGGGUCGCCGGCCUGAGAGGGUGACCGGCCACAUGGGGACUGAGAUACGGCGCAGACUGCUACGGGAGGCAGCAGUGGGGAAUAUGGCACAAUGGGAGGGAGUCGGAUGCAGAAACGCCGCGGGCGGGAUGACGGCCUUCGGGGUGUAAAAAGCUGUAGCCUGUGACGAAGCGGGAGUGACGGUAAUGGGUAAAGAAGCACCGGCUAACUACGUG